CUACGGGGGUGCAGCAGUGAGGAAUAUUGCACAAUGGGGGGAACCCUGAUGCAGCAGCGCCGCGUGGAGGAUGACGCAUUUCGGUGUGUAAACUCCUUUUAUAUGUCAAGAAAAUGACGGUAGCAUAUGAAUAAGCACCGGCUAACUCCGUGCCAGCAGCCGCGGUAAUACGGAGGGUGCAAGCGUUACUCGGAAUCACUGGGCGUAAAGGACGCGUAGGCGGGUUGGAAAGUCAGGUGUGAAAUCCUACAGCUUAACUGUAGAACUGCACUUGAAACUUCUAAUCUAGAGUAUGGGAGGGGGAGAUGGAAUUAGUGGUGUAGGGGUAAAAUCCGUAGAUAUCACUAGGAAUACCUAAAGCGAAGGCGAUCUCCUGGAACAUUACUGACGCUAAGGCGUGAAAGCGUGGGGAGCAAACAGGAUUAGAUACCCCGGUAGUC
rnacentral:rRNA from 1 species